rnacentral:rRNA from 1 species
GGACAACAUCUCGAAAGGGAUGCUAAUACCGCAUACGUCCUACGGGAGAAAGCAGGGGAUCACUUGUGACCUUGCGCUAAUAGAUGAGCCUAAGUCGGAUUAGCUAGUUGGUGGGGUAAAGGCCUACCAAGGCGACGAUCUGUAGCGGGUCUGAGAGGAUGAUCCGCCACACUGGGACUGAGACACGGCCCAGACUCCUACGGGAGGCAGCAGUGGGGAAUAUUGGACAAUGGGGGGAACCCUGAUCCAGCCAUGCCGCGUGUGUGAAGAAGGCCUUAUGGUUGUAAAGCACUUUAAGCGAGGAGGAGGCUCUUUUGGUUAAUACCCAAUGAGUGGACGUUACUCGCAGAAUAAGCACCGGCUAACUCUGUGCCAGCAGCCGCGGUAAUACAGAGGGUGCAAGCGUUAAUCGGAUUUACUGGGCGUAAAGCGCGCGUAGGCGGCCAAUUAAGUCAAAUGUGAAAUCCCCGAGCUUAACUUGGGAAUUGCAUUCGAUACUGGUUGGCUAGAGUGUGGGAGAGGAUGGUAGAAUUCCAGGUGUAGCGGUGAAAUGCGUAGAGAUCUGGAGGAAUACCGAUGGCGAAGGCAGCCAUCUGGCCUAACACUGACGCUGAGUGCGAAAGCAUGGGGAGCAAACAGGAUUAGAUACCCUGGUAGUCCAUGCCGUAAACGAUGUCUACUAGCCGUUGGGGCCUUUGAGGCUUUAGUGGCGCAGCUAACGCGAUAAGUAGACCGCCUGGGGAGUAC